AGAGUUUGAUCCUGGCUCAGGAUGAACGCUGGCGGCGUGCCUAAUACAUGCAAGUCGAACGCAUAUCAGUAAUGAUAUGAGUGGCGAACGGGUGAGUAAUACAUAAGCAACCUGGCCUUUUGAGGGGGAUAACUGCUGGAAACGGCAGCUAAGACCGCAUAGGUAUAUCUAUUGCAUGAUAGAUAUAUUAAAUAUCCCACGGGAUAGCGAGAGGAUGGGCUUAUGACGCAUUAGCUAGUUGGUAAGGGUAGCGGCCUACCAAGGCGACGAUGCGUAGCCGGCCUGAGAGGGUGAACGGCCACACUGGGACUGAGACACGGCCCAGACUCCUACGGGAGGCAGCAGUAGGGAAUUUUCGGCAAUGGGCGAAAGCCUGACCGAGCAACGCCGCGUGAGGGAGGAAGUCCUUCGGGAUGUAAACCUCUGUUAUAAAGGAAGAACGGUAACUGCAGGGAAUGGCAGUUAAGUGACGGUACUUUAUGAGGAAGCCACGGCUAACUACGUGCCAGCAGCCGCGGUAAUACGUAGGUGGCGAGCGUUAUCCGGAAUUAUUGGGCGUAAAGAGGGAGCAGGCUGCUGAACAGGUCUGUGGUGAAAGCCCGAAGCUAAACUUCGGUAAGCCAUGGAAACCGGACAGCUAGAGUGCGUCAGAGGAACGUGGAAUUCCAUGUGUAGCGGUGAAAUGCGUAGAUAUAUGGAGGAACACCAGUGGCGAAGGCGACGUUCUGGGGCGCAACUGACGCUCAUUCCCGAAAGCGUGGGGAGCAAAUAGGAUUAGAUACCCUAGUAGUCCACGCCGUAAACGAUGAGUCCUAAGUGUUGGGGGUCAGACCUCAGUGGUGCAGUUAACGCAAUAGGUAUUCCGCGUGAGUAGUAAGUUCGCAGGAAUGAAACUCAAAGGGAAUUGACGGGGGGCCCGCACAAGCGGUGGAGCAUGUGGUUUAAUUCGAAGCAACGCGAAGAACCUUACCAGGUCUUGACAUACCUUUAAAGGCCCUAGAGAUAGGGAGAUAGCUAUAGAGGAUACAGGUGGUGCAUGGUUGUCGUCAGCUCGUGUCGUGAGAUGUUGGGUUAAGCCCCGCAACGAGCGCAACCCCUGUUGCCAGUUGCCAGCAAGAGAGAUGGGGACUCUGGCGAGACUGCCUCUGCAAGGAGGAGGAAGGCGGGGAUGACGUCAAAUCAUCAUGCCCCUUAUGACCUGGGCUACACACGUGCUACAAUGGACGGAUCAGAGGGAGGCGAAGCCGCGGGGUGGAGCGAAACCCAGAAACCCGUUCACAGUUCGGACUGCAGUCUGCAACUCGACUGCACGAAGCUGGAAUCGCUAGUAAUCGCGAAUCAGAAUGUCGCGGUGAAUACGUUCUCGGGCCUUGCACUCACCGCCCGUCA
rnacentral:rRNA from 1 species